rnacentral:rRNA from 1 species
CCUACGGGAGGCAGCAGUGGGGAAUAUUGCACAAUGGGGGAAACCCUGAUGCAGCGACGCCGCGUGAGUGAAGAAGUAUUUCGGUAUGUAAAGCUCUAUCAGCAGGGAAGAAGAAAGACGGUACCUGACUAAGAAGCCCCGGCUAACUACGUGCCAGCAGCCGCGGUAAUACGUAGGGGGCAAGCGUUAUCCGGAUUUACUGGGUGGAAAGGGAGCGUAGACGGCGGUGCAAGUCUGAAGUGAAAGACCAGGGCUCAACCCUGGGACUGCCUUGGAAACUGGGGAGCUAGAGUGCUGGAGAGGUAAGUGGAAUUCCUAGUGUAGCGGUGAAAUGCGUAGAUAUUAGGAGGAACACCAGUGGCGAAGGCGGCUUACUGGACAGUAACUGACGUUGAGGCUCGAAAGCGUGGGGAGCAAACAGGAUUAGAUACCCGAGUAGUC